GAUGAACGCUGGCGGCGUGCCUAAUACAUGCAAGUCGAGCGAACGGACGAGAAGCUUGCUUUUCUGAUGUUAGCGGCGGACGGGUGAGUAACACGUGGAUAACCUACCUAUAAGACUGGGAUAACUUCGGGAAACCGGAGCUAAUACCGGAUAAUAUUUUGAACCGCAUGGUUCAAAAGAGAAAGACGGUCUUGCUGUCACUUAUAGAUGGAUCCGCGCUGCAUUGGCUAGUUGGUAAGGUAACGGCUUACCAAGGCAACGAUGCAUAGCCGACCUGAGAGGGUGAUCGGCCACACUGGAACUGAGACACGGUCCAGACUCCUACGGGAGGCAGCAGUAGGGAAUAUUCCGCAAUGGGCGAAAGCCUGACGGAGCAACGCCGCGUGAGUGAUGAAGGUCUUCGGAUCGUAAAACUCUGUUAUUAGGGAAGAACAUAUGUGUAAGUAACUGUGCACAUCUUGACGGUACCUAAUCAGAAAGCCACGGCUAACUACGUG
rnacentral:rRNA from 1 species